rnacentral:rRNA from 1 species
CCCUUAGAUGUUCUGGGCCGCACGCGCGCUACACUGACGAAUGCAACGAGCUUAUAACCUUGGCCGAAAGGUCUGGGUAAUCUCCAAAUUUCGUCGUGAUGGGGAUAGAUUAUUGCAAUUAUUAAUCUUCAACGAGGAAUGCCUAGUAAGCGCAAGUCAUCAGCUUGCGUUGAUUACGUCCCUGCCCUUUGUACACACCGCCCGUCGCUCCUACCGAUUGGAUGAGGGGGUAAAAUGUUUGGACUUUGCGCUCAUUUUAUGAGACGAGGAAGAACAGUGAAUUCGUACAUCUAGAGGAAGGAGAAGUCGUAACA